rnacentral:rRNA from 1 species
UACGGGGGGGGCAAGCGUUGUUCGGAAUUACUGGGCGUAAAGGGCUCGUAGGCGGCCAACUAAGUCAGACGUGAAAUCCCCAGGCUCAACCUGGGAACUGCGUCCGAUACUGGAUGGCUCGAAUCCGGGAGAGGGAUGUGGAAUUCCAGGUGUAGCGGUGAAAUGCGUAGAUAUCUGGAGGAACACCGGUGGCGAAGGCGGCAUCCUGGACCGGUAUUGACGCUGAGGCGCGAAAGCCAGGGGAGCAAACGGG